rnacentral:rRNA from 1 species
GGAAUAUUGCACAAUGGGGGAAACCCUGAUGCAGCGACGCCGCGUGAGCGAGGAAGUAUUUCGGUAUGUAAAGCUCUAUCAGCAGGGACGAAAAAAGACGGUACCUGACUAAGAAGCCCCGGCUAACUACGUGCCAGCAGCCGCGGUAAUACGUAGGGGGCAAGCGUUAUCCGGAUUUACUGGGUGUAAAGGGAGCGUAGACGGCAAGGCAAGCCAGAAGUGAAAGGGCAGGGCUCAACCCUGUACAUGCUUUUGGAACUGUGGUGCUAGAGUGCAGGAGAGGUAAGUGGAAUUCCUAGUGUAGCGGUGAAAUGCGUAGAUAUUAGGAGGAACACCAGUGGCGAAGGCGGCUUACUGGACUGUAACUGACGUUGAGGCUCGAAAGCGUGGGGAGCAAACAGG